GAUGAACGCUGGCGGCGUGCUUAACACAUGCAAGUCGAACGAAGCAUUUAAGACAGAUUACUUCGGUUUGAAGUUUUUUAUGACUGAGUGGCGGACGGGUGAGUAACGCGUGGGUAACCUGCCUCAUACAGGGGGAUAGCAGCUGGAAACGGCUGGUAAUACCGCAUAAGCGCACAGUACCACAUGGUACAGUGUGAAAAACUCCGGUGGUAUGAGAUGGACCCGCGUCUGAUUAGCUGGUUGGCGGGGUAACGGCCCACCAAGGCGACGAUCAGUAGCCGACCUGAGAGGGUGACCGGCCACAUUGGGACUGAGACACGGCCCAGACUCCUACGGGAGGCAGCAGUGGGGAAUAUUGCACAAUGGAGGAAACUCUGAUGCAGCGACGCCGCGUGAGUGAAGAAGUAGUUCGCUAUGUAAAGCUCUAUCAGCAGGGAAGAUAGUGACGGUACCUGACUAAGAAGCUCCGGCUAAAUACGUGCCAGCAGCCGCCGUAA
rnacentral:rRNA from 1 species